GAAAAUAAGUUUAGAUAUCUAAAACAUUCAUUUAAAGUGAAAUUAUAGCUAAUGGAAUAAAAUAAAAAUAAUGAAUAAAAUAUUCUAAUUUUUCAUAAAACAAUUUUUGUAGAACGCUACGUAAAUAAUUUUUACAACGUAAAAACAAAAUAAAUUCCUACAUACAGUAGCACACGCAGCCAGGUAUUCAAAACAUUUAACAAUGACAUGUGGGCCCCCGAAUGACUAAAAGUAAUGAAGGUUGUGAACCUACAGU
rnacentral:lncRNA from 1 species